rnacentral:tRNA from 1 species
GCCGGCGUAGCUCAGUUGGUAGAGCAACGCAUUCGUAACGCGUGGGUCGGGGGUUCGAUUCCCUCCGCCGGCACCA